UAAUUUGUAUUUUUCUUCAGAUAAUCUUAGUCACAAGUGAUGUACCUAUUAUCUUUGUGGUGCUUUAUUCUUCAAGGUAGCUGGGAAUUGAUGACCUACACCUAAUUAAAUUGAAACAAGUUUCUAAGAAAAAAAGCUAAGCAAGUUUCUAAGAAGUUGCCUUAAUGCCAGUGAAACGAUAUUCCAAACUUUCUCUCGAUGCUGGGCAGUGGCAGUGAGCAGCAGCGCCCAGGCAUGUGAUCAUGAAGGAAUUGACAGAAAAUGGCAUUUUGUUGAAGAAACUUUAAGUCAAAGAUGGAAAAAUGGCCAAGGGAGAAAUGUGACUAAAAGACACCAAAAAUGUUCAACUUCAGUAUGUUUUUAAGAUGAAGAAAUAAAAUUUUAUUCUAGAUGUGUAAAGGCAUCACCACAGACCAGCAUCCUUUGGAGAAUUCUAAGGAACCACUGACUUCCCCAUAACCUCCUCACUGCUUUCUAACAAUAGUCACUCUCCCGUAGGAACAAGGGCACUGAGGCCCAGGUGGCUUGGACUUGUCUGACAAGAUUUUGUGUACCAUCUUUAAGUCCUUCUCUGUGUGUUCAUGUUGUCCAGAAUAAAAAGAAAAUUAAAUAAUGAAAUAUAGAAAUUAAGUUAGGACUGACCUAAGCUUUAAAAUAGUAAGCUUGUUAAAAUUGUUGAAAGCCUUUUUUAUUAUCUAGAUUAGCCAGGUGGGGACCAGAAACCCAAACCUAAAGAGGAGAGGUAUGUACUUCUUAAGAGGGUGAUGGUGAUGGAUGAAAAGAUACCAACCAAUGGUGGUAUUUCACACAUGGAGAGCGGUGUUCAGAGAACACAGUGACCUUCUAGACAAAGACACAGGUUUCUAUGUAACUCAUGUCCCCUUCUUAGGCCUUGGGAGAGGCUUUUACCUUUCCACUCUCAGAAAGUAUUUUUAUGUUCUCCCAUCCUAAUUGCUCUGAGGUCUCAUUCUUUGUUUGAACCCCUAGAAAAUUCCUUGGUGUCUACUUGAAGUUUAAGUGACUUGGAGUUAAAUUUGUAGACCAUCCAUCUCUCUUUGCUGGGCUAAGGUUUACUGACUAAGAAGAUUCUUUAAAAGGAGAAGGGCCAGAAAUAGAACUGGACAUAGAGUACAUCUAGUGACUCAGGAAGUGCUGGGGCAUCUGUGCUGUGACUGGUGAUUUGUAUUAAAAAUGCACUAAGUAUUUUAGGUCAGAAUAAGCAGUGGUUAAGAAAGAGGUUGGCAGGAGGACAGUAACUAUCAGAGAACAAAGAUCAGUAGGAAGAAUCAAGAGCUGCAAAAUUCUUGUUUAACAGUUGAAAUUUAGUUUAAUUUGACAUUGAAAAGAGAGGGACUUAGAAUAAAUCUAAGACAGAAUGUGCUAGCAUGAUAAAGUAAUGUUAAAAGAUAACCUGAAGCAUGUUAAAAUUUUUGAGUGUAUUUGAGCAAAAAUAACUUUUUGUCUGGAAGUAUCUAAUUUAUCCAGAAGGAGCUCUGAGGGGCUGUACAAAUGGAAGCCUUUUACAGGCAGAAGGGAGUAAGAAUGAGCAGAUUAUGUUACAUAGAAAGUAGAUUGGUUAUUACAGGGUUACUUUGUUUUAGGGAAAUAGCAGGAGUCACCAUCAGGCAGAUGACCUCACUAAUGUUUAUCAGGUGAUUCCCCAUUGUUGUUGUUCAGUCACUAAGUUGUGUCCUACUCUUUAUGAUCCCAUGGACUGCCACAUGCCAGGCAUCCCUGUCCUUCAUUGUCUCCCGGAAUUUGCUCAA